CACAACAACCCAAACUAUCCAAAGUGGCCUGAGAGAAAGCAUUCUCAGAGUGACACAAGACUGUGUCUGGCAUGCUUCUUUCUCCAACUCAGGAACUGGACGUGACUGGCUGAGAGAGCUACAUUCACUUAUCUAAGGAGUAUUUAUCACUCUGGUAAUCAACUAGGAAGAUACAAAAAGAAAUAUGGAAGAUACAAAAAGAAAUAUGGCAAGCUUCCCGUCAGUCUGCCUUCCAGUAAACAUACACGCGAAAACGUCUGUGAGGCACUGUGGAACAUACUAAAAUUGUGAGGUCCUUAAGGGAACGGCUGUGUCUUAUGAAUUCCUUUUUAUAUCCCUUAUCCUUUGUACAUUACAGGUGCUCUAUACAUAUUUAAUGCAUAACUGAAUGAAAGACUAAGUAAGAUAUAGCCCUUAUCCUCAAGAAAAGUAUAUUCUAGUUAGGAGACUAAGCUAUGCCCAUAUGAGAAA